ACAUAUAUAUAUAGAUAGAUACAUAUAUAUAUAUAUAUAUAUAUAUAUAUAUAUAUAUAUAUAUGUAGAUAUAUAUGUGUGUGUAUGUUUGUAUGUACGUAUGUGUGUGUAUACACACAUGCAGCUAAAAGAACAUUUGGCCUUGAUAAUCUGGAAAUAUUUUAAUAGAUUUUCUUUUUUUCUUGUAAACAAACAUUACUUUGUAUGAGAACAACUACAAACCAAAAAAAAAGUCAUUCUUAUUUAUUUUUUGUCUUCAAAUAUUUUUGGAAUUUCCAAUUUCAGUGACUUAUGAAAUAAUCAUUGCUGUGGAUGCAGCAAAAUUUGAUGUUUUGUUUUUUUUUUUUCAAAACUACUGCAAUGUGUUGGCAUCUUGGCCAUUCUUGCACAUUCUUGCACAGGCAAGAAAUAUUUGUCAAAGAGAAAUUCUAUUUAAAAUCUAAUCUAGAAUCAGUGCCUAAUUCUGUGGGAAACAUGAGCCAAAUACAUUAGAAAGAUUGAUCUGUACAAAUAUCUUGCCUUUUUUAAAACUGAUGGAAUUAUGUGACUGUUGUAGGUUUCUCUUUUUUGUAUUUUCAGUUAAAAAAUAUUUGAAAUUAUUUUCAUUUUGGUCGAAAUAAACAAAUGGAAUAUAUGUA